rnacentral:rRNA from 1 species
CCUACGGGAGGCAGCAGUGGGGAAUAUUGGGCAAUGGGCGCAAGCCUGACCCAGCAACGCCGCGUGAAGGAAGACGGCUUUCGGGUUGUAAACUUCUUUUGACAGGGAAGCGCCGAAGACGGUACCUGUCGAAUAAGCCACGGCCAACUACGGGACAGCAGCCGCGGUAAUAGGUAGGUGGCAAGCGUUGUCCGGAUUUACUGGGUGUAAAGGGCGUGUAGCCGGGCUGACAAGUCAGAUGUGAAAUCCGGGGCUCAACCCACGAACUGCAGUUGAAACUGGUGGUCUUGAGUAGCGGAGAGGCAGGCGGAAUUCCUGGUGUAGCGGUGAAAUGCGUAGAUAUUAGGAGGAACACCAGUGGCGAAGGCGGCCUGCUGGACGACAACUGACGGUGAGGCGCGAAAGCGUGGGGAGCAAACAGGAUUAGAUACCCCUGUAGUC